rnacentral:lncRNA from 1 species
AUGGCUCAGUCCUUGCUAGGUGCCAAGGACUGGUUCAUCGCUGAGCCCUGCAGCUCUGAACCCGUUAAUAGUGGAUCCCGUUUUCUCAUAGCAGCAUCAGCAAAACAGAAACCGUUUCUGCCUGGGCAUAGACGAUGGACAGAUCAGCACAGAGUCUAAAAACCAAUGUAACAUUGACCAAGGACUGCCAAGGUGUACUGAUCAAGAGCAUCAUGUAGCUGCACAUACACAGGUAUUUCCUGAGCUUCCAGGAGACACGGUUGAAAAUUAGGCUAUAUUUGUCUUGCUUUAAGCUAAUUGUUUUUUUCCUUAAGAUCUGACAGUUUCUUGCAGCCUGAACACUGGCUACAUAAGGUGUUUCCUCUUUGUGUUAUUUGGUUAUUAUUUCCCUAGUGCUAAUGCUACUGUGCUGCUUCCAUGUGAAAUCCCAGAAUGGUGCCUCUUCUGGCUCCUUGAAAAUAGGAGGCAACAGGCUCAGCCAAAACUGAGCAGUCAUCAGCGAAUGCAAGAUUAGGUAUUUGUACUGCAUCAAAACCAGUAUUUGAUGCAGGUAAAAACCGAUCAGUGGACAACAUAAUACCAGCAGUCUAAAGCU